UUCAGCCUACGGGACGCAGCAGUGGGGAAUAUUGCACAAUGGGGGAAACCCUGAUGCAGCAACGCCGCGUGAGUGAUGACGGCCUUCGGGUUGUAAAGCUCUGUCUUCAGGGACGAUAAUGACGGUACCUGAGGAGGAAGCCACGGCUAACUACGUGCCAGCAGCCGCGGUAAUACGGAGGAUGCGAGCGUUAUCCGGAUUUAUUGGGUUUAAAGGGUGCGUAGGCGGACUGUUAAGUCAGCGGUAAAAGCCCGGGGCUCAACCCCGGCGAGCCGUUGAAACUGGCUGUCUUGAGAUGUCGAGAG
rnacentral:rRNA from 1 species